rnacentral:rRNA from 1 species
UACGAAGGGACCUAGCGUAGUUCGGAAUUACUGGGCUUAAAGAGCUCGUAGGUGGUUAAAAAAGUUAGUGGUGAAAUCCCAAGGCUUAACCUUGGAACUGCCACUAAAACUUUUUAACUAGAGUAUGAUAGAGGAAAGUGGAAUUUCUAGUGUAGAGGUGAAAUUCGUAGAUAUUAGAAAGAACACCGAUUGCGAAGGCAGCUUUCUGGAUCAUUACUGACACUGAGGAGCGAAAGCAUGGGUAGCGAAGAGG